AUACGUAGGGGGCGAGCGUUGUCCGGAAUUAUUGGGCGUAAAGGGUGCGUAGGCGGCGAAGCAAGUCAGAUGUGAAAAACCACGGCUUAACUGUGGAGGUGCAUUUGAAACUGUUUUGCUAGAGUGCAGGAGAGGGAAGCGGAAUUCCUAGUGUAGCGGUGAAAUGCAUAGAUAUUAGGAGGAACACCGGUGGCGAAAGCGGCUCUCUGGUCUGUAACUGACGCUGAGGCUCGAAAGCGUGGGGAGC
rnacentral:rRNA from 1 species